GGGCCUGCCCCCUGCGUCCCGGGGGCAUAGGCGUUCUUAAGGCUGCAGAGCCCUGGGUCCCCCACCCGGCCCCGGUUCACUUUGAGCGGUCCCAAGGCCUGAGGGCCUACUGUCCAGUCCCCGGGUUAUCGUCCUGAGCAAAGACAGACCCGGAGCCCUGCGGUCUUGGGGCUCAAACAGUCCCUGGAUGGCCAAACAAGCGAAUAUUCGCCAUGGCAGUGGGUGCUGGAAGGGUGGCUCACGGAGCUGACGCCCUCUGCAGAGAACCGUGGUCUAGUCCUGCGGUCACGAGGCCUAUCUGGGACAGUGGUGUUUGAGCUGAGACUUUAAGGAAUAGAGACAGGUGAGGUUCCUGCAGCCCAGGGCCUCAGGCACUGUGCUAAGCAGUUUUACUGGAAGUGUCUACCUCAUUUCGUUCUCUGAAUAGCUCUAAGAGCGUGAACAACCCCAGAAGGAAAAAGAGUGCUGUUGUUAAAGGUAUCUGGCAUCAUGGACCCAACCAUCACCAGGAGUUUCUCACUUCAUCUCUGUGUGAUAAAUUUUGACAUAUCUAUACAUCCAUGAAGCCGGCACCACAAUCAAGAUAAUGAACAUCUCGCUUACCCCAGAAGUUUCCUGUGCCCUCUCACUCCUCCGUAUUCCUCCAUCCUCAGGAUUUCAUCAAAUGGUCUGCUGCACUGUGCUGGAAUUUUGAACUCCCCAGAGUAGUAAACAACAUCUUCUCAAGCGUAUACAAGUCAUCAGAUAGAGAAAACACCCAUUAUAGAGCUGUGGGGCCCUUACGAUAUAGUGCUAUGCUGCAACAAAGUAGACAGAAGAGUAUUUGUUGAAUAAUAGAAAGUAUCAAUGAACGAACAAAUAAACUAAUGAGCUGAUGUAUUGAUUAAAUGAAUUUACUUCUUUCAGAUUUACUUUUCCAAACUAAAAAAGAUUGUUUUAAACUUUGUUCCAAAGUUAUACAGUUUUUACAAAAAUAAACAGUUUUAUUUUUGAAUUGCUUUAUAUUUACAGAAAAGUUGCAAAGAUAUGGAAAGUUGCCUCACCCUAUAAUUAGCUUCUGACAUUAGUAUGGUACAUUUGUCACAAUUAAUGAACCAGUAUUGAUGAUAUGUUAUUAUUAACUAAAUUUUAUACUUUAUUAAGAUUUCCUCAGUUUUUACCUAAUGCCAUUUCUCUGUUCCAGGAACCCAUCCCAGAAACCACAUUUCAUAUUGAUAUCAUGUUUCCUAAGACUCCUCUUCGUAGGUACAGUUUCAGGGCCAAGAUUUUAAGGGCCUUGAGUGUUUUGAGCAGUACUGGACAGGUGUUUUUUAGGAUGUCCCUUGACUGAGCUUUGACUGAUGAAUUGCUCAUGAUUGAAUUGGGACUAUGGGUCUUCAGAAGAAAGAUCAUGAGCCCUUUUUGUCACAUCAUAUCAAAGAUACCAUGCCAUCAGUACAACUUAUUACUGAUGAUGUUGACAUUGACCACUUGUCUGAGAUAACAUUUGUCAGAUUUCUCCACUGUAAAGUUACUUUUCCCCACUUUCCAUACUAUACUCUUCUGUAGGAAUUCACUAUGCACAGGCCAUGCUUAAAGAGAGCUCCAUCUCCUUGAGGGCAGAGUAACUACAUUAAAUAUUUGAAAUCUUUCUGCCCAGGAGAUUUGUCUAUUUUUCCAAUUUAUUUAUUCAAUCUAUUAUUAUUAUGUUAGAUAUGAGACCUUGCUAUGUUGCCUAGAUGGGUCUCAAACUCCUGAGCUCAAGUAAUCCUUCUGUCUCAGCCUCCUGAGCAGGUGGGACUAUAGGCAUGCACCACUGCACCUGACAAUCAUUUAUUGAUGGCAGUAUGAACUCAUGGACAUUUGUUUUAUCCUUAAGUUAUAACCCAAUAUUAUAUUAUUUUAUUGCUAAAUUAUUUCAGUUUUGGCCAUUGAGGUCUUUUGUUUAAUGCCCAUGUCAUUUUGACAUACCUCUAUCAUUGUGGGAUUUCUUUUUCCUUUUUUGCAGAUAUUUCUUUAGUUUUUGGCACUACAAGAGGCUCCAGUUUCAUCAUCUAUCCUGCCCCAGCCCAAGAUUCAACCAUUUCUUCAAGUAGCCCUUGCUCUUUUUUACUGUAGAUUGUAGUUAAUAAUCAAGUUCUUGUCACUAGAUUCUUCAGAAAUUUUUUUUUAGUUUAUAUAUUUGUUGAUAAGGUAUUGAUAAAGAUUCUGGUAGUGAUUACCAAUGUAACUUUUGGCAAAUUAUCUGAAACAUGGAAAUAAUAAUUUCUACUUCAUAGGACUGUUGUACAUUUUAAAUGGAUUCACUAGGAUAGUGCACGGAGUAAAAGGAAACAAAUAGUAACUCUAAAUGGUAUUAUUACAAAUUCAUUGGAAAUAAAUAAAUGUAAAUUUGCUUCCAAAAGUC